rnacentral:rRNA from 1 species
GACGAACGCUGGCGGCGUGCCUAAUACAUGCAAGUAGAACGCACAGUUUAUACCGUAGCUUGCUACACCAUAGACUGUGAGUUGCGAACGGGUGAGUAACGCGUAGGUAACCUGCCUGGUAGCGGGGGAUAACUAUUGGAAACGAUAGCUAAUACCGCAUAAUAUUGAUUAUUGCAUGAUAAUUGAUUGAAAGAUGCUAUUGCAUCACUACCAGAUGGACCUGCGUUGUAUUAGCUAGUAGGUGAGGUAACGGCUCACCUAGGCGACGAUACAUAGCCGACCUGAGAGGGUGAUCGGCCACACUGGGACUGGGACACGGCCCAGACUCCUACGGGAGGCAGCAGUAGGGAAUCUUCGGCAAUGGACGAAAGUCUGACCGAGCAACGCCGCGUGAGUGAAGAAGGUUUUCGGAUCGUAAAGCUCUGUUGUAAGAGAAGAACGGGUGUGAGAGUGGAAAGUUCACACUGUGACGGUAUCUUACCAGAAAGGGACGGCUACUACGUG